AUACUCAAGACCUAACCUGUUACCACGGUA
rnacentral:sRNA from 1 species